rfam:Felis catus isolate Cinnamon breed Abyssinian chromosome D1, whole genome shotgun sequence.
ACCUGGCUGGCUCAGUUGGAAGAGCAUGUGACUCUUGAUCUCCAGGUCAUGGGUUUGAGCCCCAUGUUGUGUG